rnacentral:rRNA from 1 species
UACGUAGGGGCUAGCGUUAUCCGGAUUUACUGGGCGUAAAGGGUGCGUAGGUGGUUUCUUAAGUCAGGAGUGAAAGGCUACGGCUUAACCGUAGUAAGCUCUUGAAACUGGGAAACUUGAGUGCAGGAGAGGAAAGUGGAAUUCCUAGUGUAGCGGUGAAAUGCGUAGAUAUUAGGAGGAACACCAGUAGCGAAGGCGGCUUUCUGGACUGUAACUGACACUGAGGCACGAAAGCGUGGGGAGCAAACAGGAUUAGAUACCCCUGUAGUCCCUGAGCGGGCUGG